CUAGACCUGAAAAUGUUUGGGAGAGCAAAUCACGUGUCAGUUGAGGAGACAAAUAUUUCUGAAGCCAAAAUGGAGUCACGUAAGACUGACGACACUGAUGCAGUUCCCAGUGUCAAAAGCAAAGUCAAAGCACGUCACAGCAGCCGAUCUGGAGCUACGUCACUGGACAAACUGGACACUAAAAGUGAUGAGGUGACUGACGUAUCUAGUGACGACACCGAUCCAGUUCCCAGUGUCAAAAGCAAAGUCAAAGCACGUCACAGCAGCCGAUCUGGAGCUACGUCACUGGACAAACUGGAAUUGGAAGGAUCAGUUGGUGCAAGUAAAUGCUUCAGAUUGCUGCCUCAGUUCAGG
rnacentral:lncRNA from 1 species